GACAGAGGAUGCAAGCGUUAUCCGGAAUGAUUGGGGCGUAAAGCGUCUGUAGGUGGCUUUUUAAGUCCGCCGUCAAAUCCCAGGGCUCAACCCUGGACAGGGCGGUGGAAACUACCAAGCUGGAGUACGGGUAGGGGCAGAGGGAAUUUCCGGUGGAGCGGUGAAAUGCGUAGAGAUCGGAAAGAACACCAACGGCGAAAGCACUCUGCUGGGCCGAACACUGACACUGGAGAGACGAAAGCUAGGGGAGCGAAUGGG
rnacentral:rRNA from 1 species